UAGACAAUCGUUCAUUAGUGAGUUAGAUAAAGUCUCUCCCUUCCUCCCACCCGGCUGACAGUUGUCUCCUCGCGUCUCCUCGGGGAGCUCAUUUCACACCGAGAGCUUGCGGUGGUGCACGCGUCGUCGCUGUGGAAGUGACUCCGACUCGCUCGGGUCCCAUCUGAGUUUGUCUCCGCAGACAGUGCCACUGGAAAUGUCAGCAGGAGCAGAGAGGAGCCGUGUCGAGUCGCUCACUCUAACAAGCUGAAGGGUUCUCCCCGCGGGGCCCGUGUAUGCAGAGCCACUCUUAUUUCUCCGGAUUGUCUCCAGUCAGGCUCGUCAGAGAGCUCACUGCACCCACAGAGGUUGCUCUUAUAGAGGAGACUUGUAUGGGUCCAGGUGUAUCAGACCCCUCAUCCACCCCCCCCAGGCAGGGAACGUUGCCCUCUUGUCGUGCCUGAACCUGAGCUGAGUCGGGUGGCAGCCUCCCAUUUGUUAAAUGCUACAUGAGGUGACUGGAGCUUCUCUGCCCGUUGCUGAGAGGACAGAUGGAGAGGCCACGGAAUGUUCUGGAGAGCCGAUGAACACAAAAGGAGAAUUUUGAAGAACCUUCAGGCAGCUUUUUUUCGAUACAACAUGAUCAUGUCUGAAAAAAGAUAUUUACUCACGUUCUUAGACCAGGAUGAUGCAUUUAAGGACUCCAAAAUGUGUGCAACACCUCAGAAAAUGCCUUUUUUUUAUCAUUACUGAUGGAUAAAGUGGAAAUCAAGCACUUAUAUGAUGAUGCCACAUCCAGCGUUGACAUCAUUUGCCACCUUCAGCUCAGACAGAGCUGCCAGUGUAAAUGCGCCUCCUCAAUGUUCCUGCCGAACGUGUGUGAACAAAAGCAGAAGUUGUUUACGGCAGGGUAAUUGGUCAUGGACGGGUCAUUACCUGUGGCAAGAAAGCUGUGAAGAAAAGAAAAGUGUAAAACAAGAAUACGUCAAUCUUUCUGACUGAUCAAGUAAUAUAUGAACAAACACGAGUACAUACACACACACAGUAGUGGCCAAAAGUGAUGUCCGGCCUAGGAAAACUGACAUCUUCACCCUCAAAUUAUUAAUCUUCAUAUUAUUAAAAAUUUGUUAAAGAUUUUUUUUAGCAUAUUGCGUAGAUGUGUUUGGAGUCAAUUGUUUUAUUUGUGAAAACACAAUGAAACAUGCCAAAUUGUGCGGACAUCAUUUUUGGUCAUGCUGCCAUACAAAGAAAACACAUGCAAAAACAAGAGAACCAGUUAAACAUUAAUAACUGAUUAUGUUUUAGUUAAUAUGUG